GCAAUCGGCAAUUGUAUUUUGGGUAGAUACUUGUUCAUGGGUUAGUGAGGGAAUCGAAAAAAAGAAAGAAAGAUAGGACUUGAAUGCACUUUAUGUUUUAGUCAUCUUCAAAGUGGAGAAGCAGACAAAAUCGUUUCCGGCUAGGUCUUGCCGCAAGUCUUUCGAUCCCUAUCCACCCCUUCCGGCAAGAUUUGGCUCUAUAGAGAUUGAUCCAGACACUGUGCGGCCUCUCAAGAAGCGGCUUAAAUCCGAUGAUGCUUGUAUUGUUUGUGAAGUUUCAGAAGAGGGAGCAUCAAGUUGUUCUUGGGUUGACUGUCUUCUUCGGUUUCAUGAAGAGUGUUUGACUCCUGAGUUCGGUGGUAGUGAGGAUCUCUCAAGAGUUCUCAUCAACCUGAAGAGGAAGAAGAAGAUAAAGUGAUAGAGGACGAGGUUGAAGCAUCAGCUGAAGACGAUGAGAGGGUAUCUGCAGAUGACGAAUCAGUGAAGAGGAUGUGAGUGAGCAUGUGGCUUCUCAGCCGAAUACAUUCAGGUUAUUCCUUUUUUUCUUCUUUCACUGGAACAUGUUCAUACAAAUAGUAUCUUCCCUCAUUGCCACACUAAAUGUAGAAAGUACAAUUACCUCAUGGGAUUUGCAUGUUCAUUGGCA